AAACAUCCAACCUCCUGCGCUUGUUCUGGGCGGGCAACAGCUACCGGCUCAGAGUCUCUGCAGGUCAGACGGCCACUCGCCACCCAGGGGGAGACCCAGGAGAACCAAGGUCUCUGAUGAUUCUCAGAAGCUCGCUCAGUCAAACCCUUGGGGCCCACAGGAAUAGCUGGCCUCAUCAGUGGCUUGUGAAACGACACCAUUCCUGGCAUUGCAGGAAGAGUGGCUCAUGCACCUCACUCUGUUAAAGAGGCUUCCCGCACUUACUUGCCCAUCUAAGGAGGACAGUACGCUGGAGCAGGUACUGAAGGCACCGGAAGUCACCAUUUUUUUUUGUUUUUUUUGUUUUUUCUUAUUUAUUUAUUUAAAGAAUUUCCGCUUCCUCCCCUCCUCCCAAUACCCUCCUGAAGUCACCAUAUUUUUUUUUAUUUUUGAUCAGAGAAUGUUAGGGGAAAUUCUAGAGACAAAGUUGGUUGGAGAUGUAGGGCCCAGCAAAGACAUGCUCAAUAGAAGCCAGAGUUUCAGAUUACCCUAAGGCAAUACCUGGUUCCAAGAAAGACCACAAACUGAGACCACCCAGGCACCACCUAGGAAUGGGUCAGCCAAGGGGAAAGUACCUAAGGUUCCAAAGAAAAUUCCUAAAGUUCCAACUGUUGUAGAUAGCAUCACCUCACCUGAUGUCCCUUAGCCUGGCACACACCCAUCCCUUUUCACCAAGGCACCCCUAGACAAAUGUCAGUCAAUCAGGGGUCCUGAACCUUAGAAAUCCCUCACCCCAACCUCUGCUAAUGAUAAAACCCCCAACCUCCACUGAGCUUGAGGCUCUAAUUGUGUUGGACACAAGAAGAGUUCAAGUUUGAACUUGAAUAAAGGCCCUUUGCUUUUA